UUGAACGCUGGCGGCAGGCUUAACACAUGCAAGUCGAGCGGUGACAGAGAGAAGCUUGCUUCUCUGCUGACGAGCGGCGGCCGGGUGAGUAAUGCCUAGGAAUCUGCCUAGUAGUGGGGGAUAACUUGCCGAAAGGUAAGCUAAUACCGCAUACGUCCUACGGGAGAAAGGAGGGGACCUUCGGGCCUUUCGCUAUUAGAUGAGCCUAGGUCGGAUUAGUUAGUUGGUGAGGUAAUGGCUCACCAAGACCGCGAUCCGUAACUGGUCUGAGAGGAUGAUCAGUCACACUGGAACUGAGACACGGUCCAGACUCCUACGGGAGGCAGCAGUGGGGAAUAUUGGACAAUGGGGGGAACCCUGAUCCAGCCAUGCCGCGUGUGUGAAGAAGGUCUUAGGAUUGUAAAGCACUUUAAGUUGGGAGGAAGAGCAGUUAACUAAUAUUUGACUGUUUUGACGUUACCGACAGAAUAAGCACCGGCUAACUUCGUG
rnacentral:rRNA from 1 species